rnacentral:rRNA from 1 species
UGGGCGUAAGGGAGCGUAGGCGGANCUGUAAGUCAGGAGUGAAAUCCCCGGGCUUAACCNNGGAACUGCCUUCUGAUACUGCNGNUCUUGAGUNUGGGAGAGGGNAGUGGAAUUCCAGGUGUAGCGGUGAAAUGCGUAGAUAUCUGGAAGAACACCAGUUGCGAAGGCGGCUNCCUGGCCCAAUACUGACGCUGAGGCUCGAAAGCUUGGGGAGCAAACAGGAUUAGAUACCCUGGUAGUCCUCGCCGUAAACGAUGNACACUAGUUGUUGGAGGAGUCAAUCCCUUCAGUGACNNAACUAACGCGUUAANUGUCCCGCCUGGGGAGUACGCUCGCANGGGUGNNACUCGAANGAAUUG